rnacentral:rRNA from 1 species
GAUGAACGCUGGCGGCGUGCCUAAUACAUGCAAGUCGAGCGAACAGACGAGGAGCUUGCUCCUCUGACGUUAGCGGCGGACGGGUGAGUAACACGUGGAUAACCUACCUAUAAGACUGGGAUAACUUCGGGAAACCGGAGCCAAUACCGGAUAAUAUAUUGAACCGCAUGGUUCAAUAGUGAAAGACGGCUUUGCUGUCACUUAUAGAUGGAUCCGCGCCGCAUUAGCUAGUUGGUAAGGUAACGGCUUACCAAGGCAACGAUGCGUAGCCGACCUGAGAGGGUGAUCGGCCACACUGGAACUGAGACACGGUCCAGACUCCUACGGGAGGCAGCAGUAGGGAAUCUUCCGCAAUGGGCGAAAGCCUGACGGGGCAACGCCGCGUGAGUGAUGAAGGUCUUCGGAUCGUAAAACUCUGUCAUUAGGGAAGAACAAAUGUGUAAGUAACUAUGCACGUCUUGACGGUACCUAAUCAGAAAGCCACGGCUAACUACGUG